GCCUUCGUGGUGUAGUGGUAAGCACGUUGGGUGCGUGUUCCAGAGGUCCAUGGUUUGAGUCCCGGUGAGGGCA
rnacentral:tRNA from 1 species